ACUUUUAUACCAAUCAUCUAGUAGUUGCAGAAAUAUUGAGACUCAUAAUUUUUAAAUUUAUAAAUAUAUUGCAAUUCCUAUUGUCUUUUACAAUGAAGAUGACACAUUGAGAGUUGAUAAAGCGAUCAUGGAGCUCAGAAUUUUUCGUGUUUGUUUGAAUCCCAGAGGAGCAAUUUAUAAACACUAUAUAUUUAUUUACUCUAUUCUCAGAACAGUUGACUGUUUUGUCAUUUGAAUUACACAUUUCAAAAAAAAAAAAAAAAAGAAUGACACAUUGGGUAUUCAGUUGUCUUUCUGAGACUUAAUGAGGCUAAUGAUUCAAAGUUUUUUUUUUAAAUAAUCAACAUUCAUGAAGAUUUUGUACUACCUCUUGGAACACAUAUAAAAUUUUGUAUGUGUUCCCUUAUUGCAUGACAAUAUUCAAGACAACUUUGUAAAUAAUAGUCAAAUACAAAAUUUUAACAUCUAGUUUUUCUAGAUGUAUAGAGUGUCACAGGGUAUAAUUUUGUAAAUACAUCAGUAUGAGCUUUUAUGCUUUUUAAAUUUUUUUGAGUGUGAUUUUUAAAAAUUGAUCUUGUUUGUUACUUGUUAAUAAAUAACAUAGAAGAAUGAGAAAAAGUAUUUUAAGUUCAACACUGGCUACUCAUCUACUGGAAAAAUUUCAUUAACCUUAGUGUAAGGCUUAUUGGACACACAAAACUAUUUAUAAUGGCAUACAUAAAUUAUAGUCAUGUGGUUGUAGUAAUAAAAGGUCAUUAUCUAAACAUUUGUAUUUAGGCAUUAUAGGAAAUAUGUCUUGGAAGAGUUUCGUCUACAUUUGUGAUUGAGUUAAUACAGUAUUAUAUUUACGGUACAUGACAGCACUCAAGACAUGCUGUAAAUAUAUACAUAUAUUUAUGCCAGUUUGAAAUAUCUUUUUUACAGAUGCAUUCUUAACACAGUAUAAGCCUGUAAAUAUUUCAUUAUGACCUAACAUUAAUUAAAUUAUACCAGUAAAUUCUUUUACAAUGGAAUAGAUAAAUACUAUUAAAAUAUUAAAUAUAAAACUGUUUAUGAAUAGUUUCUCAUGUAGAGAAGAACAAGCCAGUUUUUCUAUACUGUUUACAUGAAGCAAAAUUACAGGAAAAAAAUUGGGUGCUUUUUAUCUCCAAGAUAGAUAAACUAUGAAAAACUAUUAAUAAAUUUUAAGUUAAUUAGAAAAAUUUUCAAAAUCAUUGUUAGUCCACGAUUUACCAUUGGCAUGCUUAUUUACUUUUACCUGCAGUGAUUGCAUUCACAUAUUUAGGUCAUAAUAGUAUAUAGAUUAAAUACUUUUAAAUUAUGUUUAUAUUGUGGAUUUCAAUUUAUAUUCUGGUUUACAACUUAUAAAGAUAGUAUUUCAUUUAUAAUUCAGUUAAUUCUGCAAUCUCAAUGUUAUGACUAAAUUCAAUUUGUGGUAAAUACAUAUCCUGUAACUUUUCUAAAUGUUUUAAUAUGUUUAUAUAUCUUUAAGCUAUUUUAAAAUUUUGUAUAUUUUCAUCUAGUAUUAUUAAAGGUAAAUACCUAGUAUAGUGUACGAAAAAACAGCCUGUAUCACAUUAAAAGCAAUCAAGAGAAAUUAAAAUCAGAGUUAGGAUUAAUGAGUAACAUUUAUCCCAGCACCUUUCAAGAUUAUACACAGCUCCGUACUCAGUUUGUGGACAGCCUGAGCUCAUUUGGCCUUGUGUCAAAAGAAAGUGUGAAAACAGAAAAACUGAACACAUCCCUUCAACACAAAAGGAAUUUAAGAUAGCCAAAUACCAGAUCUACGAAAAGAACAUAAGGAUUGCAGCUUAAGUAAUAAUUGAAGAUUUGUGCAAGUCAAUUAAACUAUACAUGCUUGGAAAUUGCCACAUGGGACCAUCUUGAAUGAACAGUUUAUGCAAACAGAAAACAUGUUCAGGAAGAAUGUUAAAAUUUUAACACUUGUAAAUAGAAAGAAGAUGACAUUUGCCUGUCUUUGUAAUUUAUGAGGGUAUUUGCAAAUAAGCAUCAAAACAAGAAGAAAAUAUUAAAAAGACAUUUUGUGCCAGGACAUCAUGGUAGUGCUGGAUUGCCUAUCCAACUCUGUAUAAAGGUUUUUCAAACAAUUUGUGAAGAAUGUUAGUAUCUUCAGAGUCUUCUGCAUCAGCAAAGAGUAGUGCAUUAACUAAUGGAAAAGAGAAGAUAAAAUUUCUGGUGCUCAUGAUGACUAGUCCGAACCUGUGAACUUCUGAGAAAAUUUACAGUUCUGAAAACUAGAGGUGGUUACCGAAUUGAAUAGCCGUUGGUUCUACAGCCACUAUAAUGAUCUGAAAAGUUGAAUGUGUUGCAUGAACACUUUCAGGAAUCAUAAUAGAACUCAGCUAAUUAGAUAGAGACUGGAAUGUUGAUUUGAAGACAAUUACUUUAUAAAGAUUUUCUCAUUGCUGCUUUUGCAUUAUCCCAAGAAGUGGAGACACUACUACAUGGAUAAGAACUGUAUGAUUGAAUUGACUUUGGAAUCAUCUCAGUAUUGUCAUAAAAUAUUCACUGUAUGUAGUCAAUUUUUUCCUCAGAGUUGAUGGUUAUAAAUACUUGUCAAGUUGGAAAAAUUCACUUUUACUUUUAUUUGCAUCACACUUACUAGAUUAGAGACUAGAUUGCUUUAAAUUGAGUCUUCAUUUACAACUUCAAGGAUUCAGUUAUUCGUGGGUGCGAGGGGGACCACAAACCUGGAAGGAAAUGGGAGGAAGAAAAAGAGAAACAGGAGACCAAGAAGAUGGUACCUAUCAAGGUCUCGUUUAUUGGGCUGAGGAAUUUUCCAGUACCUGUAAUUUCUCCAUUCUUGACUCUGCCUUAAAUUCAACUAGACAGCUGGCUUUUAAGACCGACUUGAGUAUUCUGGGAUUACAGUCAAAUAUUACAACACCAGGUUUAUUUGGUUCCAGCAUUCAAAUUCAGAGAUUUCCCCAGGCUGGACAACUGCUAAAUCAACUGAACUACUAUAUCUCUAGCUAAAGGUCCUGGCUAUUAUAAAUAAGGCUGCUAUGAACAUAGUGGAGCAUGUGUCCUUCUUACCAGUUGGGACAUCUUCUGGAUAUAUUCUGGCUACAUUCUGAGCAUAAAUGUGGUUUUUCUCUGAUCCAGGAGUAGUGUGGCCCAACUCUACUCCUAUCUACUUAAAAGACAACACAGGAGGCCUGCACAUUUGAGGUCACCUUGACAACACUGAAACCUCUUCUUCCCAUCUCAACAAUAAAAAGGUGGUGAAUAUCUUCAGAUACACAUCAAAUAUGCCUUUCUGAAGGUUUCAUCUACAGCAUCUCCCAAAUACCAUUAUAUAUUUAUUGUUUCUGGAGUAUUAUUUUACCUUUAUUAUCUCACAACUUCUAUAGAAGAUUUCCAAGGAAUAGAAAUGACCUGCUCUUGGCAAGUAAUUGCCCAAAAUGUUCAAUACUUCUGUUUUGAGUAUAUCUUGAACUCUCAUAUUGUUUGUUGCUUAUUAUCUUUUAUUCAUAUUUUAAUUUGCAAAUGGGAGAAACUUUUCUAAGUGGGUUGCAUAGCUAAUGUAUAUAAACAUUUUUAUGAUACUUCAGAUUAUAGCAACAUUUUCUGACUAAUUGAAUCUCCCUCUAUAUCAGUUUUGUUAUCGUUUGUGAGAUAUCUUCUUCCUCCUUUGAAUAAGAAACUCAGAUUUUAGGCAGGCCCUAAAGAAGAUUGUUUGGUACAGUGGUGUUCUUUAGAGAAGAUGCUCUGGUGCUAUUUUUGCUGAUAUUAUGGUCUCUGUCUAGUGGAGCAAUAUGAGUCUCUAUGGUUUGCUUUUUCUCCAAUAUGACUACUGGAGACUUUGAUGCCCUUGUAACUGAGUGGGUUGAGAAAUGUUGUCCUUGCACUGAUAAGGAGAGACAUAGUGAUGCUAUAUUGUAGAAUGUGUGGCAUCAUAUUUUUUUGAUAUCACUUUUCAGGUGUGAGUGAAAUCUCAAUGUUUCAAAGUGAUUUUUAGUUUUCUGUGUAAUGUGGGUUUUUUAUGUUAAUCUCCUUAAACUAAGUAAUGUGAAGUAGUGAUUAUUUUCAAUAUUAGUUGUGUGUUUCUAGAUAAGUCACCAGUUCAUUUGAAAACGACUGCCUUUCUCAACUGGUUUUAAUAAUUGUAAGAGUGAAAAUAAUUGGUAAGAAUUUUAAAGUGUCUGGAUAUAUAUGUCUGUAUGUGUGUAUGUUUGUGUCAGGUGUCUGUAGAAGUCAGAAAUGAAAUUCAGGAUUAUAUACUAAUUUUAUUUUGAAUGCUUGAAUUGUUUCCUUACACAUUACUUAAUAGGUGUCAGUAAGAAGGCUCAAUGGAAAAAGCCAACUGGGAACUCCAGUUGGAUCACUGGAACCCAGGUUAUGUGUAAGACAGAAUAUAGCUGACAACAGAACACUUCACAGAUUAUUUUUAAUCUCAUAAAUUUGUAGUACAAUCCAUAUCGCCUUACUCAUUAUAUUAUUAUUACAUUUUAGUGAUAUCCUGAGGUGCAUCCUGGAUUCUUUUUAUAAUGCUCAUUUAUUUUGUAUGCAGUGUUGUUUUUCUUGUUUUAAUUGCAAGAUUAAAUUAGUGUAUUUCAAUUAGUCUUUCAUAUUUACAUUUUCUGGGGUCAGAUUGCUUAUGAUUAAUCAGACACCACUACAACUUGUCAGUUUGUGUUAAGGGCCACAAAACUUUUUAAAAACACUAGAUUUACAGACCAUAUUUUUGAAACUAGGAAUCUGUUCUUGUAGUACAAGAACAAUUAAGGCUAAUCAUUAAACCAUGCCCCCAGAAAUAGUUGCAAUACACAAAUCUUGGGUUAUAUUUGUAUUUUAGCAGAUAGUUGUCUAACCUGUAGUCAGUUGUGUAGGUCUAGUUUCAUCCAGACAAUCUUUGGUAGAUUUAGGAUUAGAAGGUACAGAAAGAGUAUCUUUUCUUGUACAAGUUUCUGAAUGCUCUACAUGAGUGAUUCUCAACCUAUGGGUCCCAACCCCUUUGUGGGUCAAAUACACCUUUGACUAGGAUCACUUAAGACCAUUGGAAAGCACAGAUAUUUUACAUUACAAUUCAUAACAAUAGAAAAGCAUAGUUAUGAAGUAGCAUCAAAAAUAAUUUGAUGGCAGGAGGUCCCUAUUAUAUGAAGAGAUGUAUUAAAGGACUGUCAUAUUAACUAUUUUAAAAUUAGAUGUUUUAGUUCAUUAUAAUAUCAACAUCUAUUGUGAUCAAAUAAUUCUGUGGUCAUUAAUUGCUAAUCUGCUAUUCCAGUUCCAUAGCAGCUUAUGAUAAGGGAUAAACUUUCAUGGUAUAUAUACUUGUCAGUAACUUUCUUAUGUUUAUAUAAAUGUACAUGGAGAUUUUAGAUGGAAGAUCUUUGUAUUAAUGAUUUUUCCAUUUAAUCUAUCAUCGUGGUUUAUGGAGUUUACAAAAAUAUGUUUGCUGCUGCUUGUGAUGCUGUUGAUGAUGUGUAUAAUUAUUUAACUAUGAUAAUAUUUUUGAGUUCCUGCUUAUAUAAUAGUUUUCCAAGUAUGGUAAUAUUAAAUCAUCAUCUGUAUAUGUCUUUGGUUUCUGUCAAUAUUGUGAAGUUACCUGCAUAUGUUUUCUGGGUUAAGCCAGAGCAGUGGUGUAAUAUAGUGCUAAUUUUCAUAGUUUUGUUUAUACUAAGUUUCAAUGGCUUUGUACAUAACAGCCAAUCUAAUAGGUGAAAUAAUAUUUUAAAGCCUAAAUUAAGACUAAUUUUAAAUGCUUAAUGGCCAUGAUUUUAUAAAACUAAAUAGAUUUUCAGUUGUAGAAGCAACGUAAAGUUUCCAAAUUUUGCUAAGUUUACCUAGUGAUACAGCAAAGGUUGCAUAGUGAUACCUUGUCUCAAUGUUUGCAUUUUUUCAUAAAUUGCUUAAGUAUACACUAUGGUAACAAGCUUUUCUUUAUAUUUAAUUUUGAUGUAAUUAUAGAACCACAUGCUUUUUUAUAUAAUCUGACUUAUGCUCUGCAUUCAUUUCACUUAUUAUUCCCAUUACUCUUUCCCUCUCUAGUCUUCUCAUCUUAUUUCUGUUUAUACAUGUCACAGAACUUUGUUUUCAUUUAAGAUAUGCAGUUCACACUGGCCAAAAUUUUUCUGUGGUUAUUUUAUAACCACAUAAGUGUGCUUAUGUUCCUUUAAUCUUGGCUUAAAAUAUAAGAAAUGUUGAUUGUCUUGUUGAACUAUAAUAUUAACUAUAUUAUAAUAUAUUAUAAUGUAAUAUGUUAUAAUAUAUUAUAGUAUUUUGGUAAGGAUUAUAUGAUAUUAUAUAGUUAUCCUCUAGAUUCCCAUUUCUUUUCUAAUAAAAGAAAGAAAGAAAGGGGUGGUUACAUUUAAGAAAAGGAGUGGUGAUGAAACAUAAUUAGAGGGAGGAGAAAUAUAAUUAUCAUAUAUUUUGUGAGAAAAUAUCUAUAAAAGAAAGCAGAAUAAAAUUUAAGAAUAUCAGAUGCACUAUGACUAGUUUAAAAGUAUGUCAUAUGCAUUGCUCAUAUUUACAUUUCAUUAGUUGGUUUAGUCGUGUUUUAUUCUGUGGGAUAAAACAGAAUUUGCAAAAGCCAUGUCGCUUUCAUAUUACUUAAUUUGAAUCAACCCUGUAGACUAUUUUGGUUAUUCAUAGCAUUGAAUUUCUUGGAAAUAACACCUUUUAGAUUUCAAGAGCCCUCAGCUUCUGGGUUUUUCCUUGUAAAAGGAUGGCGGACAUAUAUUUGUCAUAGAAAAACUUCAGAAUAAAUGUGUGUUAUCUUCAAUAAAUCAUGUCAAGUCUAA
rnacentral:lncRNA from 1 species